UUUCAAUUGCGUGGGUCAAUAAUUAGCUGUUUCGGAGUAUGCAGUCUGCAGAAUAUUUACCGUACUGGCUGCAUACACACGCAAAAGUAUUCCCAUACACGUAUACAUAUACAAACAGACAGGCAUGUAUACACAUACAUGCAUACACACAUAAGCAGCGACGCCAGUUAGGGCGGUGGCUGCUGCCUGGCAGCAGGCUAACUAUUCUCAUGUAUUUUGUUGCUUCACUGACUGCAAGCUUGCGACGCAAUACUUUUUUAACAGAGACUUGGGCGUCUACUACUCAAACUCGAGGAAAGUAAAAGCCACUCAGUAUAACAAACUGUGAGCAUUAGGUAAGGAUAUUUUUAGCGAACAAGUCCAAGUGCAAACGUGUUGGCAAGUGUAAUCAGGCGUAGAAUGCUCAAACAAAGACAAGACACAACGCCAAUGAAAAUAAGUCAAGUCAGGCAACUUGAACGAACAAGGCAACAGUCGCACAGACAACACACUCAUACACACAAACUCGCACUCGUACUCGCUCGCUCACACAGUACACAGGCAUGUGCAUGCAUAUAUACGCACUUACAAAAGAAAGAAGAGACAGGGCAAAGAGCGUACGAGUGACAGCACAAAGCGUAAAAGGAUAAAUGAAGCACGCAAGCGAAGAAUGUUGAUAAGCAACGCAGAGCACAA